UGCUCCGCUGACGAGUGGCGAACGGGUGAGUAAUGCGUCGGAACGUGCCGAGUAGUGGGGGAUAACGCAUCGAAAGGUGUGCUAAUACCGCAUACGUACUGAGGUAGAAAGUGGGGGACCUUCGGGCCUCACGCUAUUCGAGCGGCCGACGUCUGAUUAGCUAGUUGGUGAGGUAAAGGCUCACCAAGGCGACGAUCAGUAGCGGGUCUGAGAGGAUGAUCCGCCACACUGGGACUGAGACACGGCCCAGACUCCUACGGGAGGCAGCAGUGGGGAAUUUUGGACAAUGGGCGCAAGCCUGAUCCAGCCAUGCCGCGUGUCUGAAGAAGGCCUUCGGGUUGUAAAGGACUUUUGUCCGGGAGCAAAUGCCUGGUGUUAAUAGCACUGGGAGCUGAGAGUACCGGAAGAAUAAGCACCGGCUAACUACGUGCCAGCAGCCGCGGUAAUACGUAGGGUGCAAGCGUUAAUCGGAAUUACUGGGCGUAAAGCGUGCGCAGGCGGUUUUGUAAGCCAGAUGUGAAAGCCCCGGGCUCAACCUGGGAACUGCGUUUGGAACUACAAGACUAGAGUGUGUCAGAGGGGGGUGGAAUUCCGCGUGUAGCAGUGAAAUGCGUAGAGAU
rnacentral:rRNA from 2 species